rnacentral:rRNA from 1 species
UGCCGCGUGCGGGAAGAAGGCCUUCGGGUUGUAAACCGCUUUUGUCAGGGAAGAAAUCUUCUGGGCUAAUACCUCGGGAGGAUGACGGUACCUGAAGAAUAAGCACCGGCUAACUACGUGCCAGCAGCCGCGGUAAUACGUAGGGUGCGAGCGUUAAUCGGAAUUACUGGGCGUAAAGCGUGCGCAGGCGGUCUUGCAAGACAGGUGUGAAAUCCCCGGGCUUAACCUGGGAACUGCACUUGUGACUGCAAGGCUGGAGUACGGCAGAGGGGGAUGGAAUUCCGCGUGUAGCAGUGAAAUGCGUAGAUAUGCGGAGGAACACCGAUGGCGAAGGCAAUCCCCUGGGCCUGUACUGACGCUCAUGCACGAAAGCGUGGGGAGCAAACAGGAUUAGAUACCCUGGUAGUCCACGCCCUAAACGAUGUCAACUGGUUGUUGGACGGCUUGCUGUUCAGUAACGAAGCUAACGCGUGA